rnacentral:tRNA from 1 species
CAAAGAGUAGUUUAAGUAAAAUAAUAAUUUUGGAGAUUAUAGAUAAUUUUUGAUUUUCUUUGA